CUUCAACUGCUCUCUCUUCUGGCUUGUCCCUGCUGACCUUAAACAUGCCACUGUAGUACCUAUCCUGAAAAAAAAAAUCUGGUGACCCGUCCUCCCCCUCUAAUUACCGUCCCAUAUCCCUGCUCCCUUUUUCCUCAAAGCUUCUUGAAAGACUUCUCUUUACCCAUAUUUCUCACUUCAAACUCUCUCCUUGACCCUCUUCAAUCUGGCUUCUCCGCCCUCUCCCCUCUACUGAGACUGCUCUUAUCAAAGUUACUAACGACCUAAUCGCAGCUAAAUCCAAAUGCUACUAAUUCUUCUUGACCUCUCUGCUGCCUUUGACACCGU